AUAUAUACAUAUUUAUUUAUUUAUUUAUUUAUUUAUUUGGUUAGUAAGUUCGUAGAAUAUUCGGAUAUAAAGGCAACACUGAAACUUACGAACGACUUUUCGAGGCUUUUUUCGCGACUAAUUUGCCUCGAAAACGCACGCGAAAAUCGCCACUCAUACAAUUUUUGACAGUUGUUUUUCGAGGCUGGAAAAGUUUCGAGGUUUCGUGGUUUUCGAGCCACUUUCGAGCUUAAGGGAAUCCCCUAAAUAU